CGUAACGUAUGCAUCCAUUUUUGUUACGUCGACACGUUUCGUCGGAAUAUAAUGUCGUAACGUUGCAAUAACUCAUAAUUUUCAGUCAUAUCAAGCAAGAAAUAUCCCUCCAUCAACAGAAACUCUCGCCAUUUUGUUGUUUUGAGAUAUUAAACAGCGUGUUUUUAGCUAUUCAGUGACGCACACUUUGUGUGGUAGCCCAGUGAGUACGUCAUCUGCAUUAACCUAUAACAUUAUAUUAACAUCUCUAUAACAGUAUUACUGGAUUCCGCCGCCAAAUUGCUGAGGUUUAACUGAUAUUUGGAGUACCCAGUCUCUUUGGGUUCCUAUCAUAUUAAUUGCUUUCUGUGUUCAGGUUUUACGCCAUGUAUAUUUAUAUACCGUGUAUGUUUAUCUUAUUUGAUAUUUACAUUUUUUUCAGUUGUUGUUCCUUUUUUAUAAUUUUUCUUUUUAUAGUUUAUAUUUAAUAAAAUCUUCGUGAAAU
rnacentral:misc_RNA from 1 species